rnacentral:rRNA from 1 species
GUUCCCAUACCGAACACGACGGUUAAGGCAUAGACGGCCGAUGGUACUUGGUUGGAGACGACCCGGGAGAGUAGGUGGCUGCCGAAU